GAUGAACGCUGGCGGCGUGCCUAAUACAUGCAAGUCGAGCGAACAGACGAGGAGCUUGCUCCUCUGACGUUAGCGGCGGACGGGUGAGUAACACGUGGAUAACCUACCUAUAAGACUGGGAUAACUUCGGGAAACCGGAGCUAAUACCGGAUAAUAUAUUGAACCGCAUGGUUCAAUAGUUAAAGACGGUUUUGCUGUCACUUAUAGAUGGAUUCGCGCCGCAUUAGCUAGUUGGUAAGGUAACGGCUUACCAAGGCAACGAUGCGUAGCCGACCUGAGAGGGUGAUCGGCCACACGGGAACUGAGACACGGUCCAGACUCCGACGGGAGGCAGCAGUAGGGAAUCUUCCGCAAUGGGCGAAAGCCUGACGGAGCAACGCCGCGUGAGUGAUGAAGGUCUUCGGAUCGUAAAACUCUGUUAUUAGGGAAGAACAAAUGUGUAAGUAACUAUGCACGUCUUGACGGUACCUAAUCAGAAAGCCACGGCUAACUACGUG
rnacentral:rRNA from 1 species